rnacentral:rRNA from 1 species
UACGAAAGGGGCUAGCGUUGCUCGGAAUCACUGGGUGUAAAGGGCGCGUAGGCGGGCUCUUAAGUCAGGGGUGAAAGCCCAAGGCUCAACCCUUGGGAAUUGCCUUUUGAUACUGAGGGCCUUGAGACCGGAAGAGGUCGGCGGAACUGCGAGUGUAGAGGUGGAAAUUCGUAGAUAUUCGCAAGAACACCAGUGGCGAAGGCGGCCGACUGGUCCGGUCUGACGCUGAGGCGCGAAGCGUGGGAGCAACAGG